rnacentral:lncRNA from 1 species
CAAGGAGAGACAGCAAAUUCAGGCUUCUUCUACCUAUUCUUCUGUCUGGACCCUCUAGAGAUUGGAUGACGUCUCCACAUUGGUGAAGUAAUGAAACUCAAGUCAGGAAGUUUUCAAGCUGCUGAUACUCCUACAAAGGCUAUGGAUUAUUUUAGUAAAGAAAAAGAAAUCUUCAUAAAACACCAUCAUACCAGAAGUUGAAGAUUCUCUCUUGUAACUCCUAAUGGACUUUCUCAGACUUUGUAGCAAUUCUUGGAAAAUCAAAGCCAUUUGUAUAAUGAGGGGAAUUUUGGACACAAAGACAGACAUACAGAGAGGAUGCUGUGAAGACACUGGAAGCCAAGGAACCCCUGAGGCUACCAGAAGCUUGGAGAGAGUGAUGAAACUCACAGCCCUCUGAAGGAACCAACGCGGUUGACAUCUUGAUUUCAGACUUCUAGCUUCCAGAACUGUGCAAGAAUACAUUUUUGUAGUUUAAGCCACCCUGUUUGUGACACUUCGUUACAGCAACCCUAAGAAGCUUAUACUACAGACAUUGUUCUCAGAAAGACCAAAUACUGAUAACAAGAAAUAAAAAAGCAAGCCUUAAAAUCUUUAGAGCAGCCUUUAUUUCACUGCACUUCCGCAGGACAUUGAUCACAGCAAAUUUUUUUUUUUUAACAGGGUCUGACUCUGUUGCCCGGGCUGGAGUGCAGUGGCAUGAUCUUGGCUCACUGCAACCUCUGCCUCCCAGGUUCAAGCGAUUCUCCUGCCUCAGCCUCCCAAGUAGCUGAGAUUACAGACGUGCACCAUCAUGCCCGGCUAAUUUUUUGAAUUUUUAGUAUAGACGGGGUUUCACCAUGUUGGCCGGGCUGGUUUUGAACUCCUGACCUCAAGUGAUCUGUCCGCCUUGGCCUCAUAAAGUGCUAGGAUUACAGGCGUGAGCCACCACGCCCGGCUGCAAAUGUCUUUUUUCAGGAGUGUAUAAUGUUGAGAGCACUACUUAAAUGUUCAUUCUUAGAAAAACCUCAAAAAGGGAAGUAAAAGAAGAGGGAAUAAAAACUCUUUAAGAAAAUAUUCUCUUAGCAAAAUGAGAAUUCAAUAUGUUAGCCUAAUUAAUAGAUAUUCCAUUAUCAAACACUUUGCAUUUGUUAAUAAAAUACUUCAAAAGAAAAUGGGAAAUACAAUUUCUUUUAAGUAUAUAAGAAAAUGAUUAGAAUGGUAGAGUGGCUUUGUGAAAUGGUCUAAGCUGAUUUGUAGAGCAGGAAGCUUAAGCAAUGGUUCCUCCAGACUUUAAAAAAAAUUACCUAACCACUAUGGUUUUACAUCUUCUCAUCUGCACAUAAAGAGUUCUAUUAGAUUACUUCCCCCAGAAUGACUAUGGGAAUUAUUUUAACAACAUAUGUUUCUAGUAUAAGUGUCUGUUCUUGUGUAAAUUGAAUGUAACACCUAACUGAGGCAUUCUUGAUGUUGAAAUUAUUUCUGUUUACUUACCAGUAAUGUUUGUUCUUAUAGUUAUAUAUAAUUCGUAUUCUUUUAACACAGAUUCCAAGCUUUUUCAUACUUUUUUAAAUUCCAGUUUCCCUGAGAAUGUAUUUUGGGGUCUACCUUGGAUGCCCUCUUUAAU